ensembl:lncRNA
AUGGUGGAACAAAUCCAGGAAUUUCAGUUAAAGAUGGAGACCUUGGAAAACCGGCUCAAAGACACAAUUGACAGCACACUCAAUAGGGAGGAGGGGCUCAGAGCAUCUAUUGAGACAAUGGUUAAGGAGGCUAAAGAGUGUGUUGACAUUAAAUUGCAGAGAUUUGAUCAGGUGUUGGUGGACUGCUUAAAGCGAAGAGAUAAGCGGUGGGGUGAAGAACUGGAAAAGACGCGCAACAAAAAUCGUUCUUCUUGGAGGCCAGCUAGUUUCUCAACUGGGAAGAAUUCAAAAGAGCUUUCCUUGAGGCUUUCCUGCCCACUGAUUACCAGACAGAGAUUGAGGAUCAGCUCCGCUCACAGGUGCAGUCACCCACCCAGUGCAUUCAGGAUUUUGCCUAUGAUCAUCGAGCACUUUGUGUUAAGUGGAGACCAGACAUGUUGGAAGACGAGAUUGUGCGGCGCAUCCUUAGUGCAUGUAACCCAAGGUUGGCCAGUGGCAGUGAUGAAUGAGGCCAGUGCUAAGCUUCCUCCAGUUCCGCUUUUUGAUGCACAGCCUGAGCUGGUUAGACCACUGCUGCAGAAGUGGCCUACAGUUUGGACAGAUUCCACCGGUGCUACAGAUGUCAUAAAGCAUAAGAUCUUGACUACAGACGAGCUGCCAGUACGGAAGAGAGCGUAUAGAGUGUCACCACAAAAGCAAGCAGUUAUUGAGGAACAGAUUAAGAAAAUGCUAAAAAAUGGUGUUAUAGAGCCUUCCACUUCAGCUUGGGCCUCCCCAGUUGUUUUGACACCUAAGAAGGAUGGAACGCUCCGUUUCUGCGUGGACUUCAGGGGACUCAAUGCUAAAACACAUCAUGAUGCUUACCCAAUGCCACUGAUUCAUGAAAUCUUAGAGUCACUGCACGGACCACAAUAUUUUAGCUCGCUUGACCUUCAGAGUGGGUAUUGGCAGGUGGCCAUGGAUGAGGAAAGCAAACAAAAAACAGCUAUGAACACACACUUAGGCCUAUUUCAAUUUAAGGUCAUGCCUUUCGGUCUGAGAAAUGCUGGUGCCACCUUUCAGCGGUUGAUGGAGAAGGUUCUGGGGGAGUUGAAGGGCAGAACCUGUUUCGUGUACAUAGUUUACAUUAUUGUCUUCUCCAAGACUCAUGAGCAGCACCUGAGUGACCUGAAGGCAGUGUUUAAGAAGCUUCAUCAGGCCCACCUAACGCUGUUGCGAAAUGCCACCUCUUGCAAACUCAACUUACCUUCCUAGAACAUAUAGUCUCAGGUAAAGUCGUGGAGAUGGAAACGGCAAAGGUGGAGGCAAUUACAGCUUACCCAGCCCCAACACAUCUGAAAAGUCUCCAGAGAUUCCUGGGGUUGGUGGGCUGGUAUCAUAAGUUCAUUCCCCGGAUGGCAGAUAUUGUCACCCCUCUUAAUAACCUCAAGAAAAAGGGGGUCAGGUGGGAGUGGAAUGCACAGUGUCAGGCCGCCUUUGAAUGCCUUAAAGGGCUACUGCAGUCCCCAUCGGUCUUGGCUCAGCCAGAGCCAUACUCCAGCUUUCAGGUGCACUGUGACUCCAGUGAUGUGGUUUGGGGGCUGUUUUGAUGCAGACAAUUGAGGGUGAAGACAGAGCCAUCGCAUUUGCCUCAAGAGCCCUCCAUGGCGCUGAACUGAGGUACUCUACCUCAGAAAAGGAGCGCUUGGCUGUUGUAUGGGAGGUGGAAAAGCGGCGUAAUUACCUCGAAGGAGAGGCCUUAGAUGUAUACACAGACCACAGUGCACUGGCCUGGGCAUUCAACUGUCCCAAAAUGUCAUCACGUCUCACAAGAUGGACUUUGCGUCUACAGGCGUUCACCUUCCGAGUGCAUUAUAAAAAAGGGUGCUGUAAUGUAGUACCUGAUGCUCUGUCCCGAGGCCAUCUUCCACAGGACGGGAGGGUAUGUGUGGCAGUUGUAAAAUCUUACUGGUCUGACCUACCCAAGUCGCUUCAGGACAUCGGAAAAGCUCAGCAGAUUGACAUCUUAUGCCAAGAUCUUGGUUACACCAUUGGUCAGCACUCACCUGAUCGCCUCCAUUACCAACAGCAGCAGGGGGUGUUAUACCGGGGUAUACCAUCUAAGUAUGGCGGAUUUAAUUACCAGCUGGUUGUUCCCGCUAACCUAGUUCCGGAGUUUCUGUCUUACUUCCACGACAGUCCAUUGGGGGGGUCACCUGGUAAGGAUGAAGACCCUCUUGAAGUGGCCUGGUGGCCCACAGUUCGCAAGGAUGUUUGGAGUCAUGUCUGAGCUUGCCAUAUCUGUCAACAGUACAAGGGGUCGAAUGAAAAGCCAGCUGGUUUUCUUCAAUCUACAGAAGUCAAAGCACCAGGGGAGAUGAUAGGAGUAGACUUUAUGGGGCCAUUCCCUCUUAGGAAAGCCUGGAAUUCAGUUUUAAUGGUGGUUGUCGAUUAUUUCAGUAAGUGGGUGGAACUGUUUGAAUUGAAGGAUGCCAAGACAUCAAAGGUCUGCCAGAUCCUGAAGAAUGACAUCUUUACACGCUGGGGGGUACCUGCCUUCCUGGUGUCUGACCGGGGGCCCCAAUUCACUAGUCAUUUAUUAUCCAGUCUGUGUGAGUCGUGGGGUGUUACCCAAAAACUCACGACAGCAUACCAUCCCCAGACGAAUCUUACAGAGAGGGUCAAUAGGACAUUAAAGACCAUGAUUGCCUCCUUUGUAGGGGAACAUCAUCAGGACUGGGAUCGGUGGCUGCCUGAGUUCCGGUUGGCUAUCAACACAGCCGUGCAUGAGACCACUGGUGUGUCCCCUGCUGUGCUGGCUUUGGGGCACCCCCUUAAAGGCCCGUUAGAGCCCCUUUUUCACCUAUCUCCUUAACCCAGCACAACUACAUACCACACCGUACACUCACAUACAUUAUUACUGAAGGAGGUCGAAAGACAAGUGGGAAUUGCAAAAGCCAGACAAGCCAGGUACUAUAAUG